UGUCAAUAGGGACAAAGCAAAAAAUAAAUUUAAAAUUAAAAAAAUAGGGCAAAGCACUAGCAUAAAGGAAUUCUAGAAUAUAGAAUCUUAAGCUUUGAUACAUCACCCUUAUGAUUCUGAACAAAUAAGUCACUUAAUUCAAUUCCAGAAUCUUGGAAUUAGAAUGACAGUAAUCUUCACUAUCUAAACUUUAGUUUUCAGAAAAUGGAAGUUCGAAUAAUAACCAAUGUGACGGAUCAGCCUUCAUUAACACUUCUACUCCAUAGGAUAUCCAACAGGUGAAACUUACUUGACCGUGACUCGAUUCGAUAAAUCCUGUAGAUCUCCAGGAUGGAAAAGCUGAGCUUCCUUCAAUCCAAUCUUUUCACACGC